GCGGGCAGGGGAGCGGAGCCGGCCGCGCUGGCCCCCGCUCCCCGGAGAGAGGAGGAAGAGGAAGAAGAAGAGGCGGCGCGGAGACGCCAGCCCAGCCCGGCCCUAUGCCGCCGCCGCUUCCCUUCCUGGUUCUUCUCCGAUCCCUCCUCUUCAAAAAGUGGUGGCCCCUGCGCCUCAGCCUCGGCGGUGGCUGAUCUGGUCACAGACUCCAGGAGCAAGAGGCUCAACACGACCCGGACACUAAUCUACGGAGGAGGAAGUGACAGCAGCAGCGGAACCGGUCAUUCCGAGGGGUGGGGUCAAAGACAUGGCUCCGCCUCCGGGGGCGGGUCUGAGCCGGUGGGUGACGUGGUGGGUGGGGCUUAAUGCACGUGUUUUCUGUCAGUUCUACACGAGGAGCAAAGUUGACUUUCUGGCCCCUGAGGGGUUCUGACAGCACAGUCACUUAUGCUCUCUUCAGGUUGGCUUCACAGAAAGUCACUAACCCCAUCUUAGCCUAGGAUUGGCCCUAGAUACCUAGUGAUGGUGCAGGGAACCUCUGGCUUCAGGGAAAAAUUAGGAAACUGGCAAAGUUUGCCUCAAAAAAGUCAAUCAUUAACCAUUUAUUAAGAGCCUACUAUGUGCCAGGCAUUGUGACAAGUGGGCACUGUAAUUAGAAGCACUUUCCUUCUUUGUAGGAUUCUCCAUCUCACUUUAAGAACUUCCUAACCCCAUCCACCCUCCAAAAUUGUUCAGACUGCUUCUGACUGUCCAAGUUUCCUCCCCAGAUCUAGAGAGCAAACACUUCAUUCUCAGGUACUGUAUUAGACCUUUCCUUCCUCAGUAAAAUUUGUCUCCAGUCUUUGACAAAAGACAAUGGGUGAUCAUUAAUCAGACAAGCUAAUGUGUAUUUCUCUCUAAUAAGUGGUGCUAUGUUCCAGGUGAUAUGCUUAAGAUGUGAUGCUAAUCAUUGGAAUUUUAAACAUUUGGGAAUAUGGGGGAGAAAAUAUUUGGGUCAUGCAGUUAGGCCUUUAAAUUAGGUAUGCAAUCAUAUCUUGUUGAUUCCCCAGAUGUAUUAAAACUGAAUCUCUUUGGUACUACUUUUUCUGUCCAUGCAUGUGGUUCCACUUACUAUCCUACAAUAUUAUGUCCUCAGUUAUAGAUGUCUAUAGAGUUGGUCUUGUUGAUUGUAUAUAAAUGAAAAAAGCAUUGUAUUUGGAAUCAGGACAUGGAUUUCCCCAGGAUAAAUUGCUAUAUUACUCUGGGCCCCUUGGGCCUGGGGUUCCUCAUCUGUAAAACAAGGUGAUUAGAUUCUCUUUAAAGUUCAUUUCAAUUUUAAGUGCCAUGAUCUUUUUGACUAUCUACUUCAUAGUUUCUCUUGUGUACAAUAAAUGGUUUAUGAUUUGUUAAUUCA
rnacentral:lncRNA from 1 species